AAAACACAUACCUAUAAACAAAAGAUAAAAAUAAUGCACAAAAACAAAUCACAAAAGUUUAUUUUAACUUUAUAAUCUGUGUCAGUGUCCUCCAAACGCUUGUUUGAGACGCGCGUAUCGUUUGCUUCGCGGAGCGCUGUUCUUUAUUUAUGUUUUUGCCGAUUUCCGAAUAACGUUGCAAAUACAUAAUGAAAAGCCUAUAUGGAAUUAACUAUUACUAAAUAACUUUUGUAAUAUUUUCUAGUACUUUGAUAUUUCUCAUUCAAUGAAUUUCGAAUACUCUGAAUUAUUUAUGAAUCAAAAGUGCGGUCUGUGAGUGAAACCGGGAGAGAGAAGCCUCUACAGGUUUGUGUGUGAGAAGCCUCUGUAUGUUUUCGGGCAAGUAAAAGUAAAUGAAUUGUUCGAUGUGAUAAACAGCGUUCCUAACUUUGUUUUAAUCUUAUUGGACAAAGGACGAGAGUGCAAGUGUGCGAUAGCAAUGUGUAUACAAUCUUAGGGAUGCUGGUCACCGAGAUGCCGACGAUGUCGGCCUUGCUUGCGACCGCCUUGACUAUACUUCUGGCGGCGCGGCCGGCUGUGACUUCCGACCAACCAACCACUAACCCUGGUUCGGCGGAGGGCGCGACGUGCGGCGAGGGGCAG
rnacentral:misc_RNA from 1 species